rnacentral:lncRNA from 1 species
AUGGAUUGUGUUACUUCUCCAACUGUGGCCCAGAAUCAACCCUGACUUCCUGAAGUUGAUUUUGUCAUUUUACUGAUAAAGCCCAGAAGGACGCAUGAAGGCAGUGACAUUCCCGUGGUAAUCCCCAUUGAUCCCACGUGUGAAACUCUCUCAGUAACCACACGGCGUUAACGGACUCUCUGAGGAAGUCAACAGGAAGCAAUGUGUUGCUGUCAUGAUAUUAAAUAUUUCAAUUAUGAAGACAGCAAAAUUUUAAAUCACUGUGAAGAACAACUGUGGAAUGUGUUAAAGCUCUUCUGCAUGUCCCCUGGCCCCACUGACUAAUUCUUAAAUAAACAAAUGUGCUUCUUUAUUUUCUCCCCAUCCCAUAAUAAAAU